rnacentral:lncRNA from 1 species
GGUGUAAUAGCAAGAUUACCCUGCAUUUGAGAUGGAAUUGACAUGAUUUGUGUUUGCAAGAAGAUGAUUUUCUGUUGCCUCUCUACAGUUGAGGUGUUGUUGCAACAACAAUGCUGCUUUCUAAGGCAUUGUCAUAUGAUAAUAGAUCCCACAAUUUUUGAUAUUCUUAUCAUGAGCUUCUUUCACCAUGCGAGGACUUCUUUUAUCUGUCAAAAAUCCAUCUAUAUGAGUAUUCAUUUUUGGCAAGUGUCAAUAGUAUGGUCGUACUAAAAAGCUGCGACAUUAUGAUUAUUCUUUUUCGUCAAGCAUUAAGGAACAUUCACAACACCACAAAAUAUAGCUGGCGUAAUCAAUUUCUCAUAUUAUUGAUUGUAAAACGAAAAAAUAGAUAGCACCUAAAUAGAUAAAUAGCAAACAAUGAUAAAGAAUGUACUUUUAACACUUAAUUUAUAGGGAAGUUACUUCAACCAUAGAUGGAAAACAAGAAGAUGCAAUUGAUAAAUAGUCUAAAUUAUUCUCGGCCUUCAUCCCCAAUUAUUCAUGAUCUUUUGUUCCAUAAGCAUACCCAUUUAAAAUAUAUAUAUUCAGCAAAAACAUUCACUUGUUAAAUUGAAAGGGUGUAAAUUUUACAUGCCGCAAACAUUCACUUGUUAACAUGGUCUUUUAAGAUUUGCUCCUUUUUUUUUAUUUAGGUUUCGUUAGUUUAUCGUAAUUUUUUUUUCUUUUUACUAAAUCCUUUUUUAUUAAAUAAAAUGAGGGUAAUAUAAGCAAAAAAGGCAUAGAUGCUAAAGAUUUCUUCCGAAAGAGUUACUGGCCCACCACUGUUAAUUAAAUAACUGGGCACUUGUUAGCAUCAUUUACAGAAGCA